UGUUGAUGAUGACAAAUCCAAAGGCUUGUUUCUCAAAACAUUCGCAGUGGCAACCUAAGAACUUUCGCCUUCGCCGGGCUUGAGAGCUAAUGCCGCUCUUAUCCUUCCUUGGAUGUCUGAGACA